rnacentral:rRNA from 1 species
AAGAAGGUUUCGGAUCGUAAAACUCUGUGGUGGGAGAAGAAUGUAUCUGAUAGUAACUGAUCAGGUAGUGACGGUAUCCAACCAGAAAGCCACGGCUAACUACGUGCCAGCAGCCGCGGUAAUACGUAGGUGGCAAGCGUUGUCCGGAUUUAUUGGGCGUAAAGCGAGCGCAGGCGGUUUCUUAAGUCUGAUGUGAAAGCCUUCGGCUCAACCGAAGAAGUGCAUCGGAAACUGGGAAACUUGAGUGCAGAAGAGGACAGUGGAACUCCAUGUGUAGCGGUGAAAUGCGUAGAUAUAUGGAAGAACACCAGUGGCGAAGGCGGCUGUCUGGUCUGUAACUGACGCUGAGGCUCGAAAGCAUGGGUAGCAAACAGGAUUAGAUACCCUGGUAGUCCAUGCCGUAAACGAUGAGUGCUAGGUGUUGGAGGGUUUCCGCCCUUCAGUGCCGCAGCUAACGCAUUAAGCACUCCGCCUGGGGAGUACGACCGCAAGGUUGAAACUCAAAGGAAUUGACGGGGGCCCGCACAAGCGGUGGAGCAUGUGGUUUAAUUCGAAGCAACGCGAAGAACCUUACCAGGUCUUGACAUCCUUUGACCACUCUAGAGAUAGAGCUUUCCCUUCGGGGACAAAGUGACAGGUGGUGCAUGGUUGUCGUCAGCUCGUGUCGUGAGAUGUUGGGUUAAGUCCCGCAACGAGCGCAACCCUUAUUACUAGUUGCCAGCAUUUAGUUGGGCACUCUAGUGAGACUGCCGGUGACAAACCGGAGGAAGGUGGGGACGACGUCAAAUCAUCAUGCCCCUUAUGACCUGGGCUACACACGUGCUACAAUGGAUGGUACAACGAGUUGCGAGACCGCGAGGUUUAGCUAAUCUCUUAAAACCAUUCUCAGUUCGGAUUGUAGGCUGCAACUCGCCUACAUGAAGCCGGAAUCGCUAGUAAUCGCGGAUCAGCAUGCCGCGGUGAAUACGUUCCCGGGCCUUGUACACACCGCCCGUCACACCAUGAGAGUUUGUAACACCCAAAGCCGGUGAGGUAACCCUUCGGGAGCCAGCCGUCUAAG